rnacentral:tRNA from 1 species
GGGGGAGUAGCUCAACUGGCAGAGCAACGGCCUUUUAAGCCGUAGGUUCUGGGUUCGAGUCCCAGCUCCCUCA